UACGUAGGGGGCAAGCGUUGUCCGGAAUCAUUGGGCGUAAAGCGCGUGUAGGCGGUUCAGUAAGUCUGCUGUGAAAGUCCAGGGCUCAACCCUGGGAUGCCGGUGGAUACUGCUGGGCUAGAGUACGGAAGAGGCGAAUGGAAUUCCGGGUGUAGCGGUGAAAUGCGUAGAUAUCCGGAGGAACACCGGUGGCGAAGGCGGCUUCCUGGACCGACACUGACGCUGAGUCGCGAAAUCUAGGGGAGCAAACUGG
rnacentral:rRNA from 1 species